CCACUCAUCAUCACUUAGAUGGCUAGACUUGGUCUUGAAGAUCUUUUUCAACCUGGAUGAUUCUGUGAUUCGAACAUAGCAAAAUCAUCCUAGAACAUUUCCUACUCAGCUUCAGAGAGUAUUGGAUAUCACUGCAUGCUUUCUGAAAUUACAUCCAGAUGACAUUACACAAUGCCGGUCCUUUGUACUGUUAAUUCUGGCUUUAAGUCCUGCUGAUGACACAUGCUGCUGUGAGUAGUUCUUCUGAAGUAAUUAUAUCAUACAAUGACAUUUUCCCUUUAGUUUGACUGACGUCAGGCAAACACUUUAUCUUUUUGGUUUUGUUAAUGUUCUAUUUUACACAUUCAGUUCUCCAUCCAUGCAUUCAGAUAAGGUUUCAUUUCUGUUACAUUUACAUUGUUAGACCAUACAGCGGAAUUUAUUCCACUGCAAGAUAUAUUCUUUGAACAGUAAUGAAAGAUUUCACAGCCAUUUUUGCUGUUAAGUUGCUAACACUGAUCUGUUCUUUCCAGGUGGCACCACCGGACUCCACACUGACUCAGCCUUGAUAUUCACAUCUCAUUUAUCUUCAAUUUUGAACAGCAUAAAAGGAGCCUGGGCGCUUUUUAAAUAAUACGAUCGACACUUCAUCAAGUCACCAGCAUAUAUGACCCGUCACUUUACAGUCAGAGCACAACCUCAUUGCCUGCACAAUGCUGCAAACACUGGUGCCAACAGAUCUGCCUCAGCUCCCUGUUCACCCUCCUCUUGAGAUUCCUCCACGGCCUGAUGAAGAAGAGAAAGAGAAGCAAGGAAAGUUUGCACCUGUCAGAGCUGCAGGGGCACUAACAGGCUUUGAUGGCCCUGACCAACCUCAGCUGGGCCUCUGCCCACACCCUGCCCAUGGACCCAGCCCAUUUAAGCUCAGCCUUGGGGUCUUCACAGUUUUUGCUGGUGUUGCAGAGGUGCUGCUCUCUAGCUCAGCUGCAGCCAUGCCUCUCCCUGACCAUGCACCCCGGUGA
rnacentral:lncRNA from 1 species